GAUUUCACCUGAAAACAUCAUCAACAAGAAAGUUGUAUAAUUCAUCAAUAUCUAUAACUUUUAUUUUGGUCAUUUCUUCAUCCGACAAAGUGAUAAUAAUAUUGUUCACAAAAUUUAUAUCUCUCUUACAGUUUAUAAAACCAUAUAAGAAAUAUGUUAAUUUUGUGAACAAUGUUAUUAUGACUUUGUCGGAUGAAAAAAUAACCAAAAUAAAAGUUAUAGAUAUUGAUGAGUUAUACAACUUUGUUGUUGAUGACUUUUUCAGUUGAAGUC
rnacentral:pre_miRNA from 1 species